AGCAUAGCCAACAUACGUCUAGCACAUAGAGCACAUUUCAAUGCACCAUGUUUUUCGGCCCCAGAAGUCCAUUUCACAGUUAAAGUGGCUAUGUCACUUUGCAGGUUUAGGUUUUUAAUGGGAAAAAAACAAAACUUUUUUUUUCUUAAGGGGAGCAUGCUUUUUGUCAGUUUUUGCAAUGGUUGGAGCUUAAGCAGAGUUUCAUUUUAUUUGCUAAUAUAAUUUACCCAGACUGCAACAAUCAAAGUAAUCCCACAGAAGGGACAUCAUGGACAUAGGAUGCCAAAAUGGUGGCAUUUUGUUAUAGAG